GUACACUCCUGCGGGAGGCAGCAGUGGGGAAUAUUGGACAAUGGGCGCAAGCCUGAUCCAGCCAUGCCGCGUGAGUGAUGAAGGCCCUAGGGUUGUAAAGCUCUUUCACCGGUGAAGAUAAUGACGGUAACCGGAGAAGAAGCCCCGGCUAACUUCGUGCCAGCAGCCGCGGUAAUACGAAGGGGGCUAGCGUUGUUCGGAUUUACUGGGCGUAAAGCGCACGUAGGCGGACUAUUAAGUCAGGGGUGAAAUCCCGGGGCUCAACCCCGGAACUGCCUUUGAUACUGGUAGUCUUGAGUUCGAGAGAGGUGAGUGGAAUUCCGAGUGUAGAGGUGAAAUUCGUAGAUAUUCGGAGGAACACCAGUGGCGAAGGCGGCUCACUGGCUCGAUACUGACGCUGAGGUGCGAAAGCGUGGGGAGCAAACAGGAUUAGAUACCCUAGUAGUCCCAUGA
rnacentral:rRNA from 1 species